rnacentral:ncRNA from 1 species
UAUUCUAGCUUAAUUUAUUUGUUAAUUUUUCAUUUUUAUAUAAGUUUUUAAUUUUAAAUAAUUUGAUAAGUAGUAAUUAAUUUUAAUUAUUUAGGAAUCUAAGAAUUAGGAAUUUAUUUUUAUUCUAACCAAAUUUGUGCCAGCAGUUGCGGUUAUACAAAUAGGGUUUCAAAUAAUUUUAGGGUUGUAGUUAGUUUUAUUUUAAAUUAAAUUAUUAAUUUUUAGGUGAAAUUUGAAUUUUUAUUUUAAUUUUGUUGUUCGAGGCUAUUAAAUUUUUCAUAAAACUAGGAUUAGAUACCCUACUAUUUUUAAUGUAAAAUUUUAACCAGGUUAGUAAUAGUUAUAUUCUUGAAAACAAAAGAUUUUGGCGGUAUUUUAGUCUUUCCAGAGGAACCUGUUCUGUAAUUGAUAAUCCACGAUUAACUUCACUUAAAUAAAGCUUGUAUAUCGUUGUAGUUGAGUAUUUUAUAAGAAAUUUAAUAUUCUGAAUUCUCUAUUAAGGCAAAAAUCAAAUCAAGAUGCAGCUUGUAUUUAAGUAGAAAUGGGUUACAUUGAAUUUAUUUUUAGUUCUAUAUUUGAAAGAAUUUAGUUAAAUUGGAUUUGGUAGUAAUUUUAUAUAAUUUUUUAUAAUGAUUAAGCUCUAAAAUAUGCACAUAUCGCCCGUCACUUCCAUAAAAAUGGAAUAAGUCGUAACAAAGUAGGUGUACUGGAAAGUGUACCUAGAAUGA